CUUUUAUUUCUCCAAAGUUCCCUGAUCCCAUGGCAAGAAGCUUGUCUUUCCAGUCCUUUGAUAGUAGCUUUUCAAUACUGGGAGUUUCUUCUGGUUCAUUUUUGAUGAGCUCUUCCAUUUUUCUUUGCUUAAGGGUGUCUACAACAUCCGCUAGGCUCCCUUUGCGCCUUUCAGGGGUUCCCAGGGCUGUGCUGGACAAUGAUUCUCCACUCUGACGCCCACCUUCUUCUGCCUUCAAGGGUGAGGUAGAUGAGUUGUGCGGGGCAAAUGAAGACAUCGCUUUAUUGCCAUCAACUUCCAUUGUGUUGUGCUGAGAAGUGGGAGUCCUAUGGCCACAGUUCUCUUGCGUCAGCAGAGAAACUGGCUGAAAUUCCUCAGAGUGAGGCUUGUUGGGAAAACUCACAUGCAAGGGAAGGUGAAAGGCUGGGAGCCCGUCACUCUCCUCUUCUCCCACUUUCUGUCUGCUUGUCACCAUGGCUACCUCUCCAUCUGCUUCCCCAUACGGAGAGGCUGGUCGCUUGGAAGACAUCCUUUCAAACUCCUGAGGUAAAUCAGGGUCAGUGAG
rnacentral:lncRNA from 1 species